GUAACAAGGUCUCCGUUGGUGAACCAGCGGAGGGAUCAUUACAGAGUUAUACAACUCCCAUACCAUCUGUUAACCUACCCAGUUAUGCCUCGGCGUAAGCUCGGUUGGAGGCACCUGCAGCUACCCUGUAGUUGCGGACUGCCAACUCCAGCCGCGGCCCGCCGGCGGUACACUAAACUCUGUUUUAUUUUAUAUUCUGAGCGUCUUAUUUUAAUAAGUUAAAACUUUCAACAACGGAUCUCUUGGUUCUGGCAUCGAUGAAGAACGCAGCGAAAUGCGAUAAGUAAUGUGAAUUGCAGAAUUCAGUGAAUCAUCGAAUCUUUGAACGCACAUUGCGCCCAUCAGUAUUCUGGUGGGCAUGCCUGUUCGAGCGUCAUUUCAACCCUUAAGCCUAGCUUAGUGUUGGGAAUCUGCUGUACUGCAGUUCCUUAAAGACAGUGGCGGAGCGGCGGUAGUCCUCUGAGCGUAGUAAUUUAUUUCUCGCUUUUGUCAGGCUCUGUCCUCCCGCCAUAAAACCCCCAAUUUUUUAGUGGUUGACCUCGGAUCAGGUAGGAAUACCCGCUGAACUUAAGCAUAUC
rnacentral:misc_RNA from 1 species